UACAGAGGAGCCAAGCGUUGUCCGGAUUGACUGGGCGUAAAGCGCACGCAGGCGGUUUGGCGCGUGGGGUGUGAAAUCUGGCCGCUUAACGGCCAGGCGCCAUCCCAUACGGCUAGACUGGAGUGAUGCAGAGGAUGGUGGAAUUCCCGGUGUAGCGGUGAAAUGCGUAGAGAUCGGGAGGAACAUCAGUGGCGAAGGCGGCCAUCUGGGACAACACUGACGCUGAAGCACGAAAGCGUGGGGAGCAAACAGG
rnacentral:rRNA from 1 species